rnacentral:rRNA from 1 species
CAAAAUGCGAUACUUGGUGUGAAUUGCAGAAUCCCGUGAACCAUCGAGUUUUUGAACGCAAGUUGCGCCCGAAGCCAUUCGGUUGAGGGCACGCCUGCCUGGGCGNCACGC